UACGGAGGGUGCAAGCGUUGUUCGGAAUCACUGGGCGUAAAGGGCGUGUAGGCGGUCCGCUAAGUCUGAUGUGAAAGCCCGGGGCUCACCCUCGGAAGGGCAUUGGAAACUGGCGGACUCGAGUCCCGGAGAGGAAGGUGGAAUUCCUGGUGUAGCGGUGAAAUGCGUAGAUAUCAGGAGGAAUACCGGUGGCGAAGGCGGCCUUCUGGACGGUGACUGACGCUGAGACGCGAAAGCCAGGGGAGCAAACGGG
rnacentral:rRNA from 1 species